GACGAACCUUGCUAACGUUAUUCGGAAUUACUGGGCUUAAAGGGUGCGUAGGCGGUGCGGAAAGUCGGGUGUGAAAUCCCCCAGCUCAACUGGGGAAUUGCGCCUGAAACUACCGUGCUCGAGGAAGACAGAGGUCGCGGAACUUAGGGUGGAGCGGUGAAAUGCGGUUGAUAGUCCUAAGGAACACCGGUGGCGAAAGCGGCGUACUGGGUCUUAUCUGACGCUGAGCACGAAAGCUAGGGUAGCGAACGGG
rnacentral:rRNA from 1 species